GUGAAGAGCUAGGCCAAUCUUUUUUCUUUUUUUUUAAAANAAAGUGAAGUGAAAAUAUAGAGGUGAAUGAGCAACAGCAUAAACUAAGAAGAAAAUGUAAAAGCAUCGAUCAGUUGGCGCGAGGCGGAGGCGGAGGCAGAAGAGGCGGCGUGUAGUGACGAGAGUUGUUUUGGUGGAACUUGUUAAUAAAUGCAGAGGCUUUCCGAUCUGUGAAUGUAUUGUUGUUCCUUGCGUGGAACCUUUUUAUGUAAUCAGAGAAAUUCUCAUCAUCCGCUACUGCUGCUGGAGUUUGUGAGCUUCUGCUGCUAAUCUGAGAUUUUGAUUUCAUGGGUGCCGCAGAAAACGAGGAGAGUUUGAUAAUGUUGAGCACCAACUCCAUCGAUUUCUCGCAAACACCUCUCUUCUUCAUUCUCUAUCCAAUCUGCAAUUCUUUUGAAAAAAGAUAAGUAGGAGAAUUCAUCCUUUUAGAAUGAAGGACACAUGUGUGGAUUCAGAGUAUUCUCAAAUAAAGUGACUGUUGUUUUCGGGGAUAAUCUUCAAUUAUUCUCUUUUUUUUCGCACAUUUCUAGCUUCUCACGUAAUUGGUGGCAUGCGCUAAGGUCUCCACCUUACCGCCUCCCCUCCACACCAUUCUAUUUCUAACCAUAUUUUCACUCUUCUAUUUUAAAAUUAAUAUUUUAUUAAAAUUAAAUUCCAAUAGUAUAUUAAUUAAAAAAUACUUAAAAUAAAAUAUAAUAACUAAAAUUAAAAUUACAAUGAAAGUUUAGAAUUUUAAAACAAAUCAAAAAUUGAAAUUAAAAAAAAUAUAAAUAAAAAUUAUAAAAAACUAAAACUUCCCCACCAAACAAAAGGAAAAGCCGCCCCAAACUCGAACAUCUUCCCUGUGUUCCCCACAGCACAUCAGCAAGGUUUUUCAGAAAUUUUGCAGGUAAAUUUCUUUUAUUUAUUUAUUUUUAAAUUUGCACGUGCUUCCCACGCGAUCACCUCUUCUCCACUCCAGCACGCCAGCGCGGGCGUCCUCGUUCGUCAGCUCGGUCCGGUCCUAUGAGCUUCCUUCACGUAUCUUUUGCUGCUUUUUUAUCAUCAUUUGUAUGAAAUAUGUAGGCGAUAUUGCUUCAAAGCAAGAGAUUGGAAUGUGUGGUUCAUAAUUUGGAAAAAGGAAAAUAUUAC
rnacentral:lncRNA from 1 species